UCCCGCAACGAGCGCAACCCUCAUUCCCGGUAGCCAGCAGUAAGAUGGGGACUCCGGGGAGACUGCCGAGGAAGACUCGGAGGAAGGCGGGGAUGACGUCAAAUCAUCAUGCCCCUUAUGGUUUGGGCUACACACGUGCUACAAUGGCGCAGACAGAGGGAAGCAAGGCCGCGAGGCAGAGCAAAUCUCAAAAACUGCGUCUCAGUUCGGAUUGCAGGCUGCAACUCGCCUGCAUGAAGCCGGAAUCGCUAGUAAUCGCAGAUCAGAAUGCUGCGGUGAAUACGUUCCCGGGUCUUGUACACACCGCCCGUCACACCAUGGGAGUCGGCAAUGCCCGAAGUCGGUGGCCCAACCGUAAGGAGGGAGCUGCCGAAGGCAGACGAGUUCCG
rnacentral:rRNA from 1 species